rnacentral:rRNA from 1 species
AUGAUACGCGAGGAACCUUACCUGGGCUUAAAUGUAGAGUGCAUUUUUUAGAGAUUAGAAAUUCCCUUGGGGCUUUCUGCAAGGUGCUGCAUGGUUGUCGUCAGCUCGUGCCGUGAGGUGUCGGGUUAAGUCCCAUAACGAGCGCAACCCUUAUCGUUAGUUGCCAGCUGGUAAAGCAGGGGACUCUAGCGAAACUGCCACCGUAAGGUGAGAGGAAGGUGGGAUGACGUCAAAUCAGCACGGCCCUUAUGUCCAGGGCUACACACGUGUUACAAUGGCCGGCACAGAGGGCAGCUACCUGGUGACAGGAUGCUAAUCUCGAAAACCGGUCUCAGUUCGGAUCGAAGUCUGCAACUCGACUUCGUGAAGCUGGAUUCGCUAGUAAUCGCGCAUCAGCCAUGGCGCGGUGAAUACGUUCCCGGGCCUU